CGAACGCUGGCGGCGUGCUUAACACAUGCACGUCGAACGGGAUUUAGUAAACGGAAGCCUCGGUGGAAGAUUACUAAUGAGAGUGGCGAACGGGUGAGUAACGCGUGAGCAACCUGCCUAUGACAGUGGGAUAGCCUCGGGAAACCGGGAUUAAUACCGCAUAAAAUCGUAGAAACACAUGUUUCAACGGUCAAAGAUUUAUCGGUCAUAGAUGGGCUCGCGUCUGAUUAGCUAGUUGGUGAGAUAACAGCCCACCAAGGCGACGAUCAGUAGCCGGUCUGAGAGGAUGAACGGCCACAUUGGAACUGAGACACGGUCCAAACUCCUACGGGAGGCAGCAGUGGGGAAUAUUGCACAAUGGGGGAAACCCUGAUGCAGCGACGCCGCGUGAACGAAGAAGGUAUUCGUAUCGUAAAGUUCUGUCCUAUGGGAAGAUAAUGACAGUACCAUAGAAGAAAGCUCCGGCUAAAUACGUG
rnacentral:rRNA from 1 species